rnacentral:rRNA from 1 species
CCUACGGGGGGCAGCAGUGGGGAAUAUUGGACAAUGGGCGAAAGCCUGAUCCAGCCAUGCCGCGUGUGUGAAGAAGGCCUUCGGGUUGUAAAGCACUUUCAGUGGGGAAGAAAGCCUUGGGGCUAAUACCCUCGAGGAAGGACAUCACCCACAGAAGAAGCACCGGCUAACUCCGUGCCAGCAGCCGCGGUAAUACGGAGGGUGCGAGCGUUAAUCGGAAUUACUGGGCGUAAAGCGCGCGUAGGCGGUCUGAUAAGCCGGUUGUGAAAGCCCCGGGCUCAACCUGGGAACGGCAUCUGGAACUGUCAGGCUAGAGUGCAGGAGAGGAAGGUAGAAGUCCCGGUGUAGCGGUGAAAUGCGUAGAGAUCGGGAGGAAUACCAGUGGCGAAGGCGGCCUUCUGGACUGACACUGACGCUGAGGUGCGAAAGCGUGGGUAGCAAACAGGAUUAGAUACCCGAGUAGUC